UAUAAUGGGUCAGCGACUUAUAUUCUGUAGCAAGGUUAACCGAAUAGGGGAGCCGAAGGGAAACCGAGUCUUAACUGGGCGUUAAGUUGCAGGGUAUAGACCCGAAACCCGGUGAUCUAGCCAUGGGCAGGUUGAAGGUUGGGUAACACUAACUGGAGGACCGAACCGACUAAUGUUGAAAAAUUAGCGGAUGACUUGUGGCUGGGGGUGAAAGGCCAAUCAAACCGGGAGAUAGCUGGUUCUCCCCGAAAGCUAUUUAGGUAGCGCCUCGUGAAUUCAUCUCCGGGGGUAGAGCACUGUUUCGGCAAGGGGGUCAUCCCGACUUACCAACCCGAUGCAAACUGCGAAUACCGGAGAAUGUUAUCACGGGAGACACACGGCGGGUGCUAACGUCCGUCGUGAAGAGGGAAACAACCCAGACCGCCAGCUAAGGUCCCAAAGUCAUGGUUAAGUGGGAAACGAUGUGGGAAGGCCCAGACAGCCAGGAUGUUGGCUUAGAAGCAGCCAUCAUUUAAAGAAAGCGUAAUAGCUCACUGGUCGAGUCGGCCUGCGCGGAAGAUGUAACGGGGCUAAACCAUGCACCGAAGCUGCGGCAGCGACACUGUGUGUUGUUGGGUAGGGGAGCGUUCUGUAAGCCUGUGAAGGUGUCUGUGAGGAUGCUGGAGGUAUCAGAAGUGCGAAUGCUGACAUAAGUAACGAUAAAGCGGGUGAAAAGCCCGCUCGCCGGAAGACCAAGGGUUCCUGUCCAACGUUAAUCGGGGCAGGGUGAGUCGACCCCUAAGGCGAGGCCGAAAGGCGUAGUCGAUGGGAAACAGGUUAAUAUUCCUGUACUUGGUGUUACUGCGAAGGGGGGACGGAGAAGGCUAUGUUGGCCGGGCGACGGUUGUCCCGGUUUAAGCGUGUAGGCUGGUUUUCCAGGCAAAUCCGGAAAAUCAAGGCUGAGGCGUGAUGACGAGGCACUACGGUGCUGAAGCAACAAAUGCCCUGCUUCCAGGAAAAGCCUCUAAGCAUCAGGUAACAUCAAAUCGUACCCCAAACCGACACAGGUGGUCAGGUAGAGAAUACCAAGGCGCUUGAGAGAACUCGGGUGAAGGAACUAGGCAAAAUGGUGCCGUAACUUCGGGAGAAGGCACGCUGAUAUGUAGGUGAAGUCCCUCGCGGAUGGAGCUGAAAUCAGUCGAAGAUACCAGCUGGCUGCAACUGUUUAUUAAAAACACAGCACUGUGCAAACACGAAAGUGGACGUAUACGGUGUGACGCCUGCCCGGUGCCGGAAGGUUAAUUGAUGGGGUCAGCGCAAGCGAAGCUCUUGAUCGAAGCCCCGGUAAACGGCGGCCGUAACUAUAACGGUCCUAAGGUAGCGAAAUUCCUUGUCGGGUAAGUUCCGACCUGCACGAAUGGCGUAAUGAUGGCCAGGCUGUCUCCACCCGAGACUCAGUGAAAUUGAACUCGCUGUGAAGAUGCAGUGUACCCGCGGCAAGACGGAAAGACCCCGUGAACCUUUACUAUAGCUUGACACUGAACAUUGAGCCUUGAUGUGUAGGAUAGGUGGGAGGCUUUGAAGUGUGGACGCCAGUCUGCAUGGAGCCGACCUUGAAAUACCACCCUUUAAUGUUUGAUGUUCUAACGUGGACCCGUGAUCCGGGUUGCGGACAGUGUCUGGUGGGUAGUUUGACUGGGGCGGUCUCCUCCUAAAGAGUAACGGAGGAGCACGAAGGUUGGCUAAUCCUGGUCGGACAUCAGGAGGUUAGUGCAAUGGCAUAAGCCAGCUUGACUGCGAGCGUGACGGCGCGAGCAGGUGCGAAAGCAGGUCAUAGUGAUCCGGUGGUUCUGAAUGGAAGGGCCAUCGCUCAACGGAUAAAAGGUACUCCGGGGAUAACAGGCUGAUACCGCCCAAGAGUUCAUAUCGACGGCGGUGUUUGGCACCUCGAUGUCGGCUCAUCACAUCCUGGGGCUGAAGUAGGUCCCAAGGGUAUGGCUGUUCGCCAUUUAAAGUGGUACGCGAGCUGGGUUUAGAACGUCGUGAGACAGUUCGGUCCCUAUCUGCCGUGGGCGCUGGAGAACUGAGGGGGGCUGCUCCUAGUACGAGAGGACCGGAGUGGACGCAUCACUGGUGUUCGGGUUGUCAUGCCAAUGGCACUGCCCGGUAGCUAAAUGCGGAAGAGAUAAGUGCUGAAAGCAUCUAAGCACGAAACUUGCCCCGAGAUGAGUUCUCCCUGACCCUUUAAGGGUCCUGAAGGAACGUUGAAGACGACGACGUUGAUAGGCCGGGUGUGUAAGCGCAGCGAUGCGUUGAGCUAACCGGUACUAAUGAACCGUGAGGCUUAACCUU
rnacentral:rRNA from 1 species